GCCAGGCGUGGUGGUGCAUGCCUGUAGUCCCAGCUACUUGGGAGGCUGAGGCUGGAGGAUCUCUUGAGUCCAGGGGUUCUGGGCUGUAGUGUGCUAUGCUGAUCUGGUGUCUGCACUAAGUUCCGCAUCAGUAUGGUGACCUCUUGAGAGCGGGGGACCACCAGGUUGCCUAAGGAGGGGUGAACCCGCCCAGGUCAGAAACGGAGCAGGUCAAAACUCCCAUGCUGAUCGGUAGUGGGAUCGUACCUGUGAAUAGCCACUGCACUCCAGCCUGGACAACAUAGCAAGACCCUAUCUCU
rnacentral:SRP_RNA from 1 species